rnacentral:rRNA from 1 species
AUUGAACGCUGGCGGCAGGCCUAACACAUGCAAGUCGAGCGGGGUUUUCGGACCUAGCGGCGGACGGGUGAGUAAUGCGUAGGAAGCUACCCGAUAGAGGGGGAUACCAGUUGGAAACGACUGUUAAUACCGCAUAAUGUCUACGGACCAAAGUGUGGGACCUUCGGGCCACAUGCUAUCGGAUGCGCCUACGUGGGAUUAGCUAGUUGGUGGGGUAAUGGCUCACCAAGGCGACGAUCCCUAGCUGGUUUACGAGGAUGAUCAGCCACACUGGAACUGAGACACGGUCCGGAGUCCGACGGGAGGCAGCAGUGGGGAAUAUUGGACAAUGGGCGCAAGCCUGAUCCAGACAUGCCGCGUGUGUGAAGAAGGCCUUCGGGUUGUAAAGCACUUUCAGUAGGGAGGAAGGAUGUUGUGUUAAUAGCACAGCAUUUUGACGUUACCUACAGAAGAAGCACCGGCUAACUCUGUGCCAGCCGCCGCGGUAAUAC